rnacentral:rRNA from 1 species
CCUACGGGAGGCAGCAGUGAGGAAUAUUGGUCAAUGGACGCAAGUCUGAACCAGCCAUGCCGCGUGCAGGAAGACGGCUCUAUGAGUUGUAAACUGCUUUUGUACGAGGGUAAAUCCCGAUACGUGUAUCGGCUUGACCGUCUCGUACGAAUACGGCUCGGCAAACUCCGUGCCAGCAGCCGCGGUAAUACGGAGGAUUCGAGCGUUAUCCGGUUUUAUGGGGUUAAAGGGGUGCGCGGCGGGUCUGUUAAGUCAGCGGUCAAAGCCCGGGGCCCAACCCCGGUCCGCCGUUGAAACUGGCAGUCUCGAGUUGGAGAGAGGUAUGCGGAAUGCGCGGUGUAGCGGUGAAAUGCAUAGAUAUCGCGCAGAACUCCGAUUGCGAAGGCAGCAUGCCGGAUCCACACUGACGCUGAGGCACGAAAGCGUGGGUAUCGAACAGGAUUAGAUACCCGGGUAGUC